rnacentral:rRNA from 1 species
UGAGGAAUAUUGGUCAAUGGGCGGAAGCCUGAACCAGCCAAGUCGCGUGAGGGAAGACGGCCCUAUGGGUUGUAAACCUCUUUUGUCGGGGAGCAAAGCCACUCACGUGUGAGUGGAAGGAGAGUACCCGAAGAAAAAGCAUCGGCUAACUCCGUGCCAGCAGCCGCGGUAAUACGGAGGAUGCGAGCGUUAUCCGGAUUUAUUGGGUUUAAAGGGUGCGUAGGCGGCAUGGUAAGUCAGCGGUCAAAUCGAGGGGCUCAACCCCUUUCCGCCGUUGAAACUGCCGUGCUUGAGUGGGCGAGAAGUAUGCGGAAUGCGUGGUGUAGCGGUGAAAUGCAUAGAUAUCACGCAGAACUCCGAUUGCGAAGGCAGCAUACCGGCGCCCUACUGACGCUGAGGCACGAAAGCGUGGGGAUCGAACAGG